rnacentral:tRNA from 2 species
UGGGUUGUAUUUAAUUAUAAUAUCUGAUUUGCAUUCAGAAGGUACUCUAUUUAGUCAUCCUAA